rnacentral:lncRNA from 1 species
GGCGGGGCGGCGCGGGCCCGGCUGCGGGCGCUGGGGGAGCGGCCUCUGCGCGAGUGUGGGUAAGUGUGCACGGGGGUGGGGCGCGUCGCUCCCACCCGCGGGGAAGCCCACCCCCGGGCACGGGUGUCGCCCGUGGUGCAUCUAAGCGCGUGCGGCUGGGUAUCCUACACCAACGGGGCAUUCUCAAACGGGCAAAUCCCGAGCGAAGCGGACACCUCAACCCUGUGUGUCCAUUGAUGACCGUGCGAGGCCUCCUGGGCUGCAGCGCGUCCUGCAGCAACGCCCGAGAUACACAUCUCCCACCGCCCAGAGAGAAGGGAACAGUCUACCUUACCCAAGUCGCACAGUCGGUAAGUGGAGCCAGGGCUGGGUGCUGCUGUCUGCCUCCCAAGCCUGCCCCCUUUAAUUGCCACCUCGUGAAGCAUGCUGGGCAGAAGAGGAAAAGGCUCCAUGGAAGGACUGGAAGAAGCGGUUACCCCUGCCUGUGGGCUGGACAUCAGGGAAGGCUUCUCAGAGGAAGGACCUUUUGUGUUGGAUCUCAGGUAGAGGUUUGCCAGGGGAAGAAAGAUGAGCCUGGAAAGGUGUGCUGAGCAGAAGGAUCAGCAUGUGGACUCAGGAUGAUGACAGGAGGUUUGUGUUUCUGUUGGAGGGGGUGCCAGUCUUUGCCCUAAAAGUAAUUCUUUUUAAAGUAAACACUGAGUGCCCCUUUCUUUCCUUCACCCUCUCCUGCCGCCUUGAUGAGGUCUGGCAGUUACUGAGUUGGCAGAACUAAUUCCCGAGCACCUGCUCCAGUCUCACCGGCCUUCCUACCCACUCUUAUGCCCCUCGAAGCCUCUGCUCUCACCAUCCCCUUGGCUGACUCCUUCUGGUCCUUAGGUCUCAGCCCAAAGAUCUCUACCCAGAGGCAUCUUUGGACCCUUUGUCAUACUAUAUUUAAUUCAUGGCACUUUUUGUUAUCUGAGCACAUCUCAUCCAUUUAUAUACACUUAUCUGCCUCCCCUCACUCCAAUUUAAGCUCCCUAUGAGCAAGGGCCUGGUGUGACUUUUUUCCAGAAUUGAGGACUGUGCCUGAGAUUUAGACUGGCUUCUAUAAAGAUUUGUUGAGGGAAGUGGACAUGGCUCAACUGAUAGAGCAUCCGCCUUCCAUAUGGAGGGUCCAGUGUUCGAUCCCCAGGGCCUCCUGACCCGUGUGCACAAGGAGAGCACCCCACAAGGAGAGCCACCCCGUGCGAAAAAAGCGAAGCCUGCCCAGGAGUGGCGCUGCACACAAGGAGAGCUAAUGCAGCAAGAUGAUGCAACAAAAAAGAGAUGCAGUUCCCCAGUGCCACCAGAUAAUGCAAGCAGAUGCAGAAGAACACACAGAGAGCGAAUGGACACAGAGAGCACACAACAGAGGGGGGAAGGAGAGAGAAAUAAAUAAAAUAAAUCUUAAAAAGAAAUAAAGAUUUGUUGAAUGAACAUAAGGAAGACCUCAGUGAAUGCAACUUACAAAAUCAAAUGGAAGGCCCAAGGAGGGCCUAUCACUGAAGGCAUUCAAAAGUGGGCCUUCAGACAGGGAAGGG